UACGUAGGGGGCAAGCGUUGUCCGGAAUUAUUGGGCGUAAAGGGCUCGUAGGCGGUUUGUUGCGUCGGAAGUGAAAACUCAGGGCUUAACCCUGAGCCUGCUUCCGAUACGGGCAGACUAGAGGUAUGCAGGGGAGAACGGAAUUCCUGGUGUAGCGGUGAAAUGCGCAGAUAUCAGGAGGAACACCGGUGGCGAAGGCGGUUCUCUGGGCAUUACCUGACGCUGAGGAGCGAAAGUGUGGGGAGCGAACAGG
rnacentral:rRNA from 1 species